rnacentral:rRNA from 1 species
GAUGAACGCUAGUGGCAGGCUUAACACAUGCAAGUCGAGGGGCAGCGGGGUAGCAAUACCGCCGGCGACCGGCAAACGGGUGCGGAACACGUACGCAAUCUACCGUUACCUGGGGCAUAGCCCGGAGAAAUCCGGAUUAACUCCCCAUAACAUAGUGGUGUGGCAUCACACUAUUAUUAAAAAUUUAUUGGGUAAUGAAGAGCGUGCGUCCCAUUAGCUAGUUGGUAGGGUAACGGCCUACCAAGGCGAAGAUGGGUAGCUGGUGUGAGAGCACGACCAGCCACACGGGCACUGAGACACGGGCCCGACUCCUACGGGAGGCAGCAGUGAGGAAUAUUGGUCAAUGGACGCAAGUCUGAACCAGCCAUGCCGCGUGAAGGAUGAAGGCCUUCUGGGUUGUAAACUUCUUUUAUUGGGGAAGAAAAUUACGGUUUCUACUGUAACCGACGGUACCCAAGGAAUCAGCACCGGCUAACUCCGUGCCAGCAGCCGCCGUAACAC